GUUCCCUUAGUUUAAUGGAUAAAACGACUCCCUCCUAAGGAGUAAAUAUAGGUUCGAUUCCUAUAGGGAACG
rnacentral:tRNA from 1 species